rnacentral:pre_miRNA from 1 species
AUGUUUAGGUUUGGUUGGCAGUGUCUUGUUUGACAUUGCAGUGUCUUGUCAAGACACUGCCAACCAGGGUGAAAUCAC